rnacentral:rRNA from 1 species
UGAUUAGAUACCCCUCUAUGCUUAGAAGUUAACCACGACAAGCCCCUAACAACUUGUCCGCCAGAGAAUUACGGGCGAAAGCCUAAAACUCAAAAGACUUGACGGUGUCCCAAUUCUACCUAGAGGAGCCUGUUUCAUAAUCGAUAAUCCCCGCUCAACCCGACCUCUUCUUGAAAUCCUUUCAGCCUAUAUACCGCCGUCCUUCCCCGCUUACCUUUUGAAAGAUAAACAGUAAGCCCAAUAGUCUCACAACUAAAAAAUCAGGUCAAGGUGUAGCUAAUGAAGAGGAGAAAAUGGGCUACAUUUUCUACCAUAGAACACCACGGAAAGUAUUCUGAAAUAAAAUACACAAAGGCGGAUUUAGUAGUAAGCCAAAUUAGAGCGUUUGACUAAACCAAGCGCUGGGACACGCACACACCGCCCGUCACCCUA